rnacentral:rRNA from 1 species
AUUGAACGCUGGCGGCAUGCCUUACACAUGCAAGUCGAACGGCAGCACGGGAGCAAUCCUGGUGGCGAGUGGCGAACGGGUGAGUAAUACAUCGGAACGUGCCCAAUCGUGGGGGAUAACGUAGCGAAAGCUACGCUAAUACCGCAUACGAUCUACGGAUGAAAGCGGGGGAUCGCAAGACCUCGCCCGGAUGGAGCGGCCGAUGGCAGAUUAGGUAGUUGGUGGGGUAAAGGCUUACCAUGGCUACGAUAGGUAGGGGUCCUGAGAGGGAGAUCCCCCACACUGGUACUGGGACACGGACCAGACUCCUACGGGAGGCAGCAGUGAGGAAAAUUGGACAAUGGGCGCAAGCCUGAUCCAGCCAUGCCGCGUGCAGGAAGAAGCAUCUAUGGUGUGUAAACUGCUUUUGUACGGGAAGAAACACCCCUUCGUGAAGGGACUUGACGGUACCGUAAGAAUAAGGAUCGGCUAACUCCGUGCCAGCCGCCGCGGUAACAC